UGGGGAAUUUUGGACAAUGGGCGCAAGCCUGAUCCAGCAAUGCCGCGUGCAGGAUGAAGGCCUUCGGGUUGUAAACUGCUUUUGUACGGAGCGAAAAGGUCUGCCCUAAUACGGUGGGCUCAUGACGGUACCGUAAGAAUAAGCACCGGCUAACUACGUGCCAGCAGCCGCGGUAAUACGUAGGGUGCGAGCGUUAAUCGGAAUUACUGGGCGUAAAGCGUGCGCAGGCGGUUAUAUAAGACAGGUGUGAGAUCCCCGGGCUCAACCUGGGACCUGCAUUUGUGACUGUAUAGCUAGAGUACGGUAGAGGGGGAUGGAAUUCCGCGUGUAGCAGUGAAAUGCGUAGGUAUGCGGAGGUACACCGAUGGCGAAGGCAAUCCCCUGGACCUGUACUGACGCUCAUGCACGAAAGCGUGGGGAGCAAACA
rnacentral:rRNA from 1 species